rnacentral:tRNA from 5 species
GGGGGUUUAGCUCAGUUGGUAGAGCGCCUGCUUUGCACGCAGGAAGUCAGCGGUUCGAAUCCGCUAACCUCCA